ensembl:lncRNA
ACGUCUAUGUUUAGACCACAUUUCAACGUGAUUUUUUAAUACGGUAAUAUUUCGUCCUCUCUUGUGUGCUAUCUCAUUAUUUUAGAGGUUUAAAAAGAAACUACGUCCACAUUUGUAAGUUUCCCACCGAUAUUAUAAAUCACGUUGAAAACGGGUCUAUACGCGAACGUCUUUUCAACGUCUACGAAUAGACGUUGAAACAACUUUCACUUUUAAACCAUUUUGCAACGUCUUUUCAACGUCGGGCAUAGACGUCUUUUAAAUGUCUUUUCAACGUUGAAAUGCUCGCUGGUUGAAAUGUGGUCUAAACGUAAACGUCUUUUCAACGUCUAUGAAUAGACGUUGAAACAACUUUCACUUUUGAACCAAUUUGCAACCUCUUUUCAACGUCGGGCCAUAGACGUCUUUUAAACGUUGUUUCAACGGAUAAAUUGCUCGCUGGAAACGUACAAGUUACAUACUUAGUCACAGUUGUCAUGUUAACAGCCCUUAACAAGGACAAACACAUUAUUUUAUUAAUUUGCAUUUAUUAUAAAUAUAACACUAUACAUAUAACACUUUUCCUAAUUAAAAAUACAAAAAUAAAAUAUAUAUUUCAGGGAAAUUAACUAUGGAUUUAAAAGUGCAGAAACAACAUUUCUGUGUUCAACAACAACAAUUCUGUGUUUGUAGACCAUUUUUCUGAAUCAUUUGAACUUCAUUUUUAGAUUCUGCAACAAGAUGUGGCUGUGAGUCACUUGAGUUGGGAUAGUAUACCUGAAAUCAGCUGCAUCUCCCUCAUCCUCACUUGAUGAUUCUUUGUGUAAAGGGAGUCAGAGUGCAGAGAACAGCCCUCAAUUGCAGAUUUCUCUGGUCAACGUGUUUAUUCAAUUCAAAUCAUUUUAUUUUGUUCAGCUUUGCAAUCUGUAAACAUGCAACCUCCUGUCCUAAAACCCCCAAAAUGUAAAAAACCUUCAACCAGGAGAAACCUGAGGAGAAAACAGCAAGGCAGUAGGUUACAUCCAAUUCCUACGACAGAAAUGAUUCUAAUGUUGUGGAUUACUAAGCCAGGGGUAAGGCAGGACCAGUCCAGGGACAACCAUCAUCAGACGUAACCUCCAUCAGAUGCAACCACCACCCGCAGAAACCUGUGAGGUGGGAAAGCACAAAGGCAAAGUUGGUCAUUUGGGUUUAUGAUGACAGUAAUAAACUAGUAAUAAUAACAGCAGCAGGUGUGUUAGAACCCUAAUUUAUAGAUUGUUUACUUAUUACAUUAUCAACAAGAUAACAAUUCAUCUGCAACUUAUGGUAUUUCUGGAGUAACAUUUCCAGGUAUAUUACACAGUAU